rnacentral:misc_RNA from 1 species
GAUGAAGAACGCAGCGAAAUGCGAUAAGUAGUGUGAAUUGCAGAAUUCAGUGAAUCAUCGAAUCUUUGAACGCACAUUGCGCCCAUUAGUAUUCUAGUGGGCAUGCCUGUUCGAGCGUCAUUAAGUCCACUUAAGCCCAGCUUAGUGUUGGGAGACUGCUCCAGCGGUGCUACCCUGUAGCUACCCUGCAGCUCCUCAAAGACAGCGGCGGAGUUGUGGUAUCCUCUGAGCUUAGUAACUUGUUCUAGCUUUCGAGUACACCACUUCCCCUGCCGUAAAAACCCUUAAUUUUUAAUGGUUGACCUCGGAUCAGGUAGGAAUACCCGCUGAACUUAAGCAUAUCAAUAAGCGGAGGA